UAUGGCUAUAUCACGUUCAAACACCGGUUCUCCUCGGAACACUGAAGCUAAGCAACGUCGAACAUGGUCAGUACCUAGAUGGGUAACUGUUUGAGAAUUCCAGGCGCU